GAUGAACGCUGGCGGCGUGCCUAAUACAUGCGAGUCGAGCGAACGGACGAGAAGCUUGCUUCUCUGAUGUUAGCGGCGGACGGGUGAGUAACACGUGGAUAACCUACCUAUAAGACUGGGAUAACGUCGGGAAACCGGAGCUAAUACCGGAUAAUAGUUUGAACCGCAUGGUUCAAAAGUGAACGACGGUCUUGCUGUCACUUAUAGAUGGAUCCGCGCUGCAUUAGCUAGUUGGUAAGGUAACGGCUUACCAAGGCAACGAUGCAUAGCCGACCUGAGAGGGUGAUCAGCCACACUGGAACUGAGACACGGUCCAGACUCCUACGGGAGGCAGCAGUAGGGAAUCUUGCGCAAUGGGCGAAAGCCUGACGGAGCAACGCCGCGUGAGUGAUGAAGGUCUUCGGAUCGUAAAACUCUGUUAUUAGGGAAGAACAUAUGUGUAAGUAACUGUGCACAUCUUGACGUUACCUAAUCAGAAAGCCACGGCUAACUACGUG
rnacentral:rRNA from 1 species